AGUUAACACUGUCUUAACUGUCGGUUAACGGUAUGUUAAUUUGGUUAGUCAACCGUAAGUUUGUGAAUUAACUAAAAAAGUCAACAAAAAAUCGGGGUUUUAUUGGUCAGGUUCGAGUACAGGUUUCUUUUGGCAAUUCCCGCAAAGUUCAGUGUUUUUUUGGCCGAUUUCUCAUAAAAAAAUCUAGGGAAAAUUUGGAAAAAUAACUUUAGAUGAGAUUAUAUUUUGAAAACUACACCAUGUCUAAUUAUUUUUUGAAAACUACACUUAUUUAUAAGUGAAAUGACUAAACUAUCCAAUUUUAAUAUUUAUACUUAUCUGAUAUCUUAACUAAUAAUUUUAAUUUUAAACAUAAAACAGUACGUUUAAAAUUUUAUCAACAAUCAAUUUUUUAUUUUUUCCUUUUCAGAAAAUAUUAUUAUAUCUAAUAUAUUACAACAAUAUAAAGUAGAUAAUUUUCACUCACAAUUUCCUAAACAAACGUUACAACAUAUAUCAUCACAAUUUAACCAUAUCCCUUUC
rnacentral:lncRNA from 1 species